AGAUUUCAUCUGGAUAUGGUGAGUGCUUUCCUGAUCCUACCUGUGCUUCCCCAUUCACCUCAUCUAGAAUAUUCUUGCCUUGCACUUUCAUCUUAGUGAAUUCCAUUCUUCUGAUAAAGUUACAGUACAGGUCUUCUAACCAAGAGACUUUGUAUGGAGCCCAAGAGAUGGGAGAAGACAUGAAAGGAUUUUCUCUUUUAUUGGGUGCUGAAAAGUCAGUGUGGAUACCUGAAAAACUGAUUCAACCUGUGGAAGACAGACAAAGAACUUCCCAAGUGUCUACAGGGGCUACAGCUAAAGAAAAGGAAGAGAACAGGGCAAUGGAAUUGUCGAACCAAAGAGAACAGAGUCUGUCCACCAACCAUGACUCAGAUGAAGGGACUGGUGACUGAGGGAACAGACUUGGUGAGAUCGUGGGGAAGGGUGUGACUGCAGAACUGCUGUUCCUUGCUGUGCUGCCUCUGCUGACCACAUCUGUUACGCUGAGACAUAUUGGGUGUGUGUACCUGAGAUCCUCCUGUGCUUCACUUGUUAACUGGGAAGAGAACAACAUGCCUGUUUAUGUCAAUGACUCUGAGAUCUUGGGUGCCCCCCCCCAAUGCUAAUCAUAUUGUUCCCCAAGCAGAGAUGGUCACAUGAUAAUUUAAGUAUUGCUGUUCAGGCCUUGCAUGAUAAAAUAUUAACCAUUCAACAUUCAAAAUUAGAUGAAUUACCCUCCUCCAUUGCUGCACAAAACCUGACCAAGAUUCUUGGUCAUUAUUUUUAUGUCUCUAAUUGGACUUCUAAACUAUGGCUCAUAGGAAUGUCCCUGGGAAGUUUUUUGCUGAUUUGACUUGGAAGCAUUAUAGUCUUGAGAUUGAUUUGCUACUCCAUGUGUGCUUUAAAUAUUGAUUUACACCGGGCAGUGUUGGCACACGCCUUUAGUCCCAGCACUCAGGAGGCAGAGACA